rnacentral:rRNA from 1 species
UACGGAGGGUGCAAGCGUUGUCCGGAAUCACUGGGCGUAAAGGGCGCGUAGGCGGCUCAUGAAGGCUGUGGUGAAAGUCCGGGGCUCAACCUCGGAUCGGCCGUGGCGACUCGUGGGCUGGAGCACUGUAGAGGCGGGUGGAAUUCCGGGUGUAGCGGUGGAAUGCGUAGAGAUCCGGAAGAACACCAGUGGCGAAGGCGGCCCGCUGGGCAGUGGCUGACGCUGAGGCGCGAAGGCUAGGGUAGCAAACAGG